UUGAGUAAUCUGCCCCUGGCUUUGGGAUAGCCACCGGAAACGGUGAUUAAUACCGGAUAUGACCACUUCUCGCAUGGGUUGUGGUGGAAAGUUUUUCGGCCAGGGAUGUGCUCGCGGCCUAUCAGCUUGAUGGUGAGGUAAUGGCUCACCAUGGCUUCGACGGGUAGCCGGCCUGAGAGGGUGACCGGUCACACUGGGACUGAGACACGGCCCAGACUCCUACGGGAGGCAGCAGUGGGGAAUAUUGGACAAUGGGCGGAAGCCUGAUCCAGCAACGCCGCGUGAGGGAUGACGGCCUUCGGGUUGUAAACCUCUUUCAGCAGGGACGAAGCGCAAGUGACGGUACCUGCAGAAGAAGCACCGGCCAACUACGU
rnacentral:rRNA from 1 species